AUAUGUGAAUUGCAAAUAUUUCCUCCUGUUAGAUUGAAGGAGACUGAAGAGACAUGACAACACAUGAUCCUGACCUGGAUUUUAUUGCUAUGCAGGAUAUACUGGGACACUUGGCAAAACUUCAGUAGGGUCUUUUAAGGGUAUAUUUCAGUUCUUUGCAAUGUUCCUGAAUCUUUUCUAUAAAUAUGAAAUUAUUUCAAAAUAAAAAAAUAAAAUACUUAAAAUACAAAAAAAAAAAGAACUUUGAUUCAAAGAGUUUAAGAACAGAAAGUGUUAGUCACUAUGAUAGUUGGCUAAAAAUUGUGAUCUCACUGUUACUUAGAAGUUUCUUACAAGGAAUGCUUAAAAAGAACACAUUAUUGAUCCAUUUUUAUGCCCUCUUCAAUUGUAUUUGAAUGAAUUAAGCUUCUUGUUUGGAGGAACCCUGUAAAUGAUUAAAUAAUUGGGUCUAGGCCAUGGUUACUGGUGCUCCUUAAAAUUUUUUUAAUCAAUUUGUUCUUUUCAGCUUCUGAGAUCCAGAAAUGUCACUGUUGAUGUGAUUUCAGUGUUGAUGAAAUAAACUUCUAAUAGUAUCCUGCCAAGAGAUUCAUCAUCAAGAGAUGAACAUAGCAUACUUGUGCAUUCUAAUAGAAUAUUGAGGUUGGAAGAAAUAACUGAUUCACUAUUUCCAUUUUUGACCAAAAAAAUGACCAUGUAAUGUCCAACCAUGAUGGAGCCAGAUUUAAACUUGGAUCAACAAUUGGAUCGUUUCAAAUUUUAGAAAGUUAGAAAAACAUUAAUGACCACAGGAAAAUUCCGUUUAGUGGUAGUUGCUUGGCUGAUUAAAUCUUAAUCUCCCUAAUGCUGAAAGGCACUUUGG